rnacentral:lncRNA from 1 species
GAAAAUAUCUCCGUCAAUUUUGGAGGCCUUUACAUUGUAAAAGACGGAAAGUUAGUUUUAGUUCAUAUAUUUUGUUUGUUUAAAAUGGCCAAUGAAAAAAUCUCUCCGUCGAUUUUGGAGGCCUCCACAUUAUAAAAGAUGAAAAUUUAGUUUAAGUUUAUAUAUUUUGCAAGUUAAAAUGAUCAAUGAGAAAAUAUCUCCGUCAAUUUUGGAGGCCUUUACAUUGUAAAAGACGGAAAAUUAGUUUUAGUUCAUAUAUUUUGUUUGUUUAAAAUGGCCAAUGAAAAAAUCUCUCCGUCGAUUUUGGAGGCCUCCACAUUAUAAAAGAUGGAAAUUUAGUUUAAGUUUAUAUAUUUUGCAAGUUAAAAUGAUCAAUGAGAAAAUAUCUCCGUCAAUUUUGGAGGCCUUUACAUUGUAAAAGACGGAAAAUUAGUUUUAGUUCAUAUAUUUUGUUUGUUUAAAAUGGCCAAUGAAAAAAUCUCUCCGUCGAUUUUGGAGGCCUCCACAUUAUAAAAGAUGGAAAUUUAGUUUAAGUUUAUAUAUUUUGCAAGUUAAAAUGAUCAAUGAGAAAAUAUCUCCGUCAAUUUUGGAGGCCUUUACAUUGUAAAAGACGGAAAGUUAGUUUUAGUUCAUAUAUUUUGUUUGUUUAAAAUGGCCAAUGAAAAAAUCUCUCCGUCGAUUUUGGAGGCCUCCACAUUAUAAAAGAUGGAAAUUUAGUUUAAGUUUAUAUAUUUUGCAAGUUAAAAUGAUCAAUGAGAAAAUAUCUCCGUCAAUUUUGGAGGCCUUUACAUUGUAAAAGACGGAAAGUUAGUUUUAGUUCAUAUAUUUUGUUUGUUUAAAAUGGCCAAUGAAAAAAUCUCUCCGUCGAUUUUGGAGGCCUCCACAUUAUAAAAGAUGGAAAUUUAGUUUAAGUUUAUAUAUUUUGCAAGUUAAAAUGAUCAAUGAGAAAAUAUCUCCGUCAAUUUUGGAGGCCUUUACAUUGUAAAAGACGGAAAGUUAGUUUUAGUUCAUAUAUUUUGUUUGUUUAAAAUGGCCAAUGAAAAAAUCUCUCCGUCGAUUUUGGAGGCCUCCACAUUAUAAAAGAUGAAAAUUUAGUUUAAGUUUAUAUAUUUUGCAAGUUAAAAUGAUCAAUGAGAAAAUAUCUCCGUCAAUUUUGGAGGCCUUUACAUUGUAAAAGACGGAAAGUUAGUUUUAGUUCAUAUAUUUUGUUUGUUUAAAAUGGCCAAUGAAAAAAUCUCUCCGUCGAUUUUGGAGGUCUCUCCAUUGUUAAAAGAGAGAAAUUUAGUUUAAGAUUAUAUAUUUUGUAUGCUAAAAUGGCCGAUAAAGAAAUUACCGUCGAUUUCCAAGGCCUCCCAUUUUAAUAAGAUAUGUUUUUAUUUCUAAGUUAUUAUUUAUUUCAUUUAUUUUUAUUCGUAAUUAUUUACCACUAACACUUUUAUUAAGUGUCUUUACAGGUACCCCGUAGUCGCUUCUUAUCGAAGCCAUUUGAAUAAAGUUCGAAUACUAUAUUCAUUAUUAUGUAUGUUGUUGAUGAUAUGCAAAUGUUAUGUUGUUUCUCAUAUUGCUUGUUUACUUUAUCACUUGUGUAUAUUGCAUGUUUGUUAUACUUAUAUACUAUUUUCAUCUCCUCCUCAAUUUGAAAAAAUAAAUUCAGUCGGGACCCACAGUUGUGGAUUUCGAAGAAUGCCUAACUUCUUCCCUUCGAAAUAACCUGAACCCCUUACUUAGAAUCUAAUGGUUUCGUAGAUCAAUUAAUGGUUUCCUAGUUUUUUUUUAAAAUUAGGUGGCGACUCCUUUUAAAAUUUAUUUAUUCUUAAAAUUAUUUUAAAAUUGAAUCAAUUGAUUAUUUUUUAGUCACCGCGACGUUUCGCCCUAUUCAAAUAGAGUAGGGAUGUAAAUA